AUUGAACGCUGGCGGCAUGCUUUACACAUGCAAGUCGAACGGUAACAGGUUAAGCUGACGAGUGGCGAACGGGUGAGUAAUGCAUCGGAACGUACCCGAUCGUGGGGGAUAACGCAGCGAAAGCUGCGCUAAUACCGCAUACGAUCUGAGGAUGAAAGCGGGGGACCGUAAGGCCUCGCGCGAUCGGAGCGGCCGAUGUCAGAUUAGGUAGUUGGUGGGGUAAAGGCUCACCAAGCCAACGAUCUGUAGCUGGGCUGAGAGGACGACCAGCCACACUGGGACUGGUACACGGCCCAGACUCCUACGGGAGGCAGAAGUAGGGAAUUUUGGACAAUGGGCGAAAGCCUGAUUCAGCAAUGCCGCGUGCAGGAAGAAGGCCUUCGGGUUGUAAACUGCUUUUGUACGGAGCGAAAAGGCUCUCUCUAAUACAGGGGGCUCAUGACGGUACCGUAAGAAUAAGCACCGGCUAACUACGUGCCAGCCGCCGCAGUAA
rnacentral:rRNA from 1 species